rnacentral:misc_RNA from 1 species
AAGAUGCCAUCCAGUUAGGAAAAGAGCUGGAGAAUCCUCAGUCCCUGGUACAGAUUGAUUUGGCAUCUUUGAAGAGCACAUUCAGCUCUGAUCUUUGAUGGUCUGAGUGGUCACUGUCUUCUAAAAUGGUCAUUUUAAAAAAGUAACUUGCCUUCUUCAAGUAGGAUUGGAGAAGCUCACUCAAUCAGUGUUCAGCCUGUAGACAGAAAGGUGGCAUUAGCAACAAUCAGCAUCACCAAACCCUCCAAACUUCCAGUCCAAGAUAAAACCAGGAAAAAACAAUGAUAAAGGAAGUGACAGGAAUUGCUUUCAUUCCAUUAACUCGCA